rnacentral:rRNA from 1 species
UACGUAGGGUGCAAGCGUUUAUCGGAAUUACUGGGCGUAAAGCGUGCGCAGGCGGCUUUGCAAGACAGAUGUGAAAUCCCCGGGCUUAACCUGGGAACUGCAUUUGUGACUGCAUGGCUGGAGUGCGGCAGAGGGGGAUGGAAUUCCGCGUGUAGCAGUGAAAUGCGUAGAUAUGCGGAGGAACACCGAUGGCGAAGGCAAUCCCCUGGGCCUGCACUGACGCUCAUGCACGAAAGCGUGGGGAGCAAACAGG